rnacentral:misc_RNA from 1 species
ACAAACUUGGUCAUUUAGAGGAAGUAAAAGUCGUAACAAGGUUUCCGUAGGUGAACCUGCGGAAGGAUCAUUAAAAAGAUCGAACCAAAAAAUAUGGACGAUCAAAAUCCAUAUCCACCUUGUGUGCACUCAUUGACCGUUCGCUUUGGCAGGAGUUGUCUUUGGAUCCCGGCCCCCGGGAUCGAAGCGCGAGGGGGGUGGGAGGACCCCUCCCACACCUCGGCCUGCCAGAGUUUUUCAAGAUCCACACUUUUUUUAAACCUUUUGGACUGAACCCUCGUCUCGAUUCUUUGUUAAUCGGUCGAAUCUAAUACAACUUUCAACAACGGAUCUCUUGGCUCUCGCAUCGAUGAAGAACGCAGC